AACGUAGGAGACAAACGUUAUCCGGAGUUACUGGGCGUAAAGGGCGUGCAGGCGGUCUGUUAAGUUCGGCGUGAAAGCUCCCGGCUAAACCGGGAUAGGUCGUCGGAUACUGGCAGGCUAGAGGACAGUAGAGGCGGGUGGAAUUCCGGGUGUAGUGGUGAAAUGCGUAGAGAUCCGGAGGAACACCAGUGGCGAAGGCGACCCGCUGGGCUGUACCUGACGCUAAAACGCGACAGCAUGGGGAGCGAACGGG
rnacentral:rRNA from 1 species